UACUCGUAAGAGACCGAUAGCGAACCAGUACCGUGAGGGAAAGGUGAAAAGCACCCUGAUUAAGGGAGUGAAAGAGUUCCUGAAACCGUACGCCUACAAGCGGUCGGAGCAGCAAUAUGCUGUGACGGCGUGCCUUUUGCAUAAUGAGCCUACGAGUUGUCGUUUUUGGCAAGGCUAAGGACAAUGAUGUCCGGAGCCGUAGCGAAAGCGAGUCCGAAGAGGGCGUGCAGUCAAAGGCGGCAGACGCGAAACCAAGUGAUCUACCCUUGUCCAGGUUGAAGUCCCGGUAACACGGGAUGGAGGACCGAACCAAUAAGCGUUGAAAAGCUUCUGGAUGAGGUGAGGGUAGGAGUGAAAGGCCAAUCAAACUUGGAGAUAGCUCGUACUCCCCGAAAUGCAUUUAGGUGCAGCCUCGGAUGUUUGCUGUAAGAGGUAGAGCGACUGAUCGGACGCGAGGGCUUCGCCGCCUGUCAAGUCCGGACAAACUCCGAAUGCUUACAGCUUAAGUCCGGGAGUGAGGGACGGGGUGCUAAGGUCCCGCCCCGAGAGGAGAAGAAUCCAGACCGUCAGCUAAGGUCCCGAAGUGUAGGUUAAGUUAGUCUAACGCAGUGUGGCCCCCAAGACAGCUAGGAUGUUGGCCCGGAAGCAGCCAUUCAUUCAAAGAGUGCGUAACAGCUCACUAGUCGAGGGGCUGCGCGUGGAUGAUAAUCGGGUAUAAAAUCUACCACCGAAGCUACGGAAUCCGUUUUUGGAUUGGUAGGGGAGCAUUGCCGUUGCUUAGAAGAUAUGAGGACGACUUGUAUUGGAGCGACGGGAAAAGCAAAUGUAGGCAUAAGUAACGAGAAAGAGGGUGCGACUCCCUCUCGCCGUAAGGUUAAGGUUUCCCGGGCAACGUUCGUCGUCCCGGGGUUAGUCGGGUCCUAAGGCUCAGCCGCAAGGCGAGGUCGAUGGUCAUGCGUUUAAUAUUCCGCAACUGUCUUUAAGAGCGAUGUGGUGACGGAGAAGUGACACUUCCGCGUCCUGACGGAAUAGGACGUUUAACGACAAAGGCGUAGAUGAUUACAGGCAAAUCCAUAAUCAGAGCCGAAGUCGGAAAGUACGAAAUGCCUUCGGGCUGCUCGAGUGAAGGUAAUCCAGCUCCCAAGAAAAUCCGCUAGCAUUAUUUUAAAGACACCCGUACCGUAAACGGACACACGUAACCGCGUAGAAUAUACUAAGGCGCUCGGAAGAUUCAUGGUUAAGGAACUAGGCAAAUUGACCCCGUAACUUCGGGAUAAGGGGUCCUCAUAGCAAUAUGAGGCGCAGAGAAUAGGUCCAGGCAACUGUUUAACAAAAACACAGGGCUGUGCUAAGUCGAAAGAUGCUGUAUACAGUCUGACACCUGCCCGGUGCCGGAAGGUCAAGAGGAGAGCUCAGACUUUCGUCGAAGGUUUGAAUUGAAGCCCCGGUAAACGGCGGCCGUAACUAUAACGGUCCUAAGGUAGCGAAAUUCCUUGUCGGGUAAGUUCCGACCUGCACGAAUGGUGUAAUGAUCCGGACACUGUCUCAACCAUGAUUCCGGUGAAAUUGUAGUAUCGGUGAAGAUGCCGAUUACCCGCGAUGGGACGAAAAGA
rnacentral:rRNA from 1 species